UACAGAGGGGGCAAGCGUUGUUCGGAAUUACUGGGCGUAAAGGGCGCGUAGGCGGCCCGCUAAGUCGAACGUGAAAUCCCCGGGCUCAACCCGGGAACUGCGUCCGAUACUGGUGGGCUUGAAUCCGGGAGAGGGAUGCAGAAUUCCAGGUGUAGCGGUGAAAUGCGUAGAUAUCUGGAGGAAUACCGGUGGCGAAGGCGGCAUCCUGGACCGGCAUUGACGCUGAACAGCGAAAGCUAGGGGAGCAAACGGG
rnacentral:rRNA from 1 species